rnacentral:rRNA from 1 species
GACGAACGCUGGCGGCGCGCCUAACACAUGCCAGUCGAACGAGCGAGAGAGAGCUUGCUUUCUCGAGCGAGUGGCGAACGGGUGAGUAACGCGUGAGGAACCUGCCUCAAAGAGGGGGACAACAGUUGGAAACGACUGCUAAUACCGCAUAAGCCCACGUCUCGCCAUCGAGGAGGGGGAAAAGGAGCAAUCCGCUGUGAGAUGGCGUCGCGUCCGAUUAGCUAGUUGGUGGGGUGACGGCCCACCAAGGCGACGAGCGGUAGCCGGACUGAGGUGUUGAGCGGCCACAUUGGGACUGAGACACGGCCUAGACUCCUACGGGAGGGAGCAGUGGGGAAUAUUGCACAAUGGGGGAAACCCUGAUGCAGCGACGCGGGGUGGAGGAAGAAGGUCUUCGGAUUGUAAACUCCUGUUGUUGGGGAAGAUAAUGACGGUACCCAACAAGGAAGUGACGGCUAACUACGUG